rnacentral:lncRNA from 1 species
UUUCGCUUGAUGGCCUUUCCUCCUACAAACAAAACAUGAACCUGGUUCUAAAUAAGGACAAUAAUGAGAGGUAUGUCCCUCACGUCCGCAAACAUAACAUAUCUUCUUCCCUUUCUUCUUAUCAGGUUUUCCUACCUCAGGGUCUUUUAUCUUUCUUUUUCCUUUACCUCUCGGAGCUGCACACGAUGUGUUGCUUGAGGCUCCCAUUUGGUCAAUUUGGAUCUUAAGCUUAUCUUGCUCUU